rnacentral:misc_RNA from 1 species
GUUCCGUAGGUGAACCUGCGGAAGGAUCAUUAUUGUAUAACCGAGGUGCGAGGGCUGUCGCUGACCCGAAAGGUCGUGCACGCCCGAGUGCCCUCACACACAUCCAUCUCACCCUUAUGUGCACCACCGCGUGGGUCCCCCUUUGGCUUGUUCGGAGGGGGGCUUACGUUUUCACACAAACUUUGUAUGCAGUGUAGAAUGUAUUUUUUGUUUUUGCGAUCACGCAAUCAAUACAACUUUCAACAACGGAUCUCUUGGCUCUC